rnacentral:rRNA from 1 species
UGGGGAAUAUUGGACAAUGGGCGAAAGCCUGAUCCAGCCAUGCCGCGUGUGUGAAGAAGGUCUUCGGAUUGUAAAGCACUUUAAGUUGGGAGGAAGGGCAGUAAGCGAAUACCUUGCUGUUUUGACGUUACCGACAGAAUAAGCACCGGCUAACUCUGUGCCAGCAGCCGCGGUAAUACAGAGGGUGCAAGCGUUAAUCGGAAUUACUGGGCGUAAAGCGCGCGUAGGUGGUUCGUUAAGUUGAAUGUGAAAGCCCCGGGCUCAACCUGGGAACUGCAUCCAAAACUGGCGAGCUUGAGUAGGGCAGAGGGUGGUGGAAUUUCCUGUGUAGCGGUGAAAUGCGUAGAUAUAGGAAGGAACACCAGUGGCGAAGGCGACCACCUGGGCUCAUACUGACACUGAGGUGCGAAAGCGUGGGGAGCAAACAGG